rnacentral:rRNA from 1 species
GACGAACGCUGGCGGCGUGCUUAACACAUGCAAGUCGUACGGUAAGGCCCUUUCGGGGGUACACGAGUGGCGAACGGGUGAGUAACACGUGAGUAACCUGCCCACAACUUUGGGAUAACGCUAGGAAACUGGUGCUAAUACUGGAUAUGUGCUCCUGCUGCAUGGUGGGGGUUGGAAAGCUCCGGCGGUUGUGGAUGGACUCGCGGCCUAUCAGCUUGUUGGUGGGGUAGUGGCCUACCAAGGCGGCGACGGGUAGCCGGCCUGAGAGGGUGACCGGCCACAUUGGGACUGAGAUACGGCCCAGACGCCUACGGGAGGCAGCAGUGGGGAAUAUUGCACAAUGGGCGCGAGCCUGAUGCAGCAACGCCGCGUGCGGGAUGACGGCCUUCGGGUUGUAAACCGCUUUCAGCAGGGACGAAGCUUUUUGUGACGGUACCUGCAGAAGAAGCACCGGCUAACUACGUG